rnacentral:rRNA from 1 species
GAUGAACGCUGGCGGCGUGCCUAAUACAUGCAAGUCGAGCGAACAGACGAGGAGCUUGCUCCUCUGACGUUAGCGGCGGACGGGUGAGUAACACGUGGAUAACCUACCUAUAAGACUGGGAUAACUUCGGGAAACCGGAGCUAAUACCGGAUAAUAUAUUGAACCGCAUGGUUCAAUAGUGAAAGACGGUUUUGCUGUCACUUAUAGAUGGAUCCGCGCCGCAUUAGCUAGUUGGUAAGGUAACGGCUUACCAAGGCAACGAUGCGUGGCCGACCUGAGAGGGUGAUCGGCCACACUGGAACUGAGACGCGGUCCAGACUCCUACGGGAGGCAGCAGUAGGGACUCUUCCGCAAUGGGCGAAAGCCUGACGGAGCAACGCCGCGUGAGUGCUGAAGGUCUUCGGAUCGUAAAACUCUGUUAUUAGGGAAGAACAAAUGUGUAAGUAACUAUGCACGUCUUGACGGUACCUAAUCAGAAAGCCACGGCUAACUACGUG